rnacentral:lncRNA from 1 species
AUGGGUCCUUUGCCAAGCAGUAAGGCGUGCAGAAAUGACCUCACUCGAGAAGGCCAACAACCCCACCGUCCGUAUGCUGUAGUACAUGUGAUUCAAGGCCCCUUCUGUGAGGAUAAAGACUGGAUGAAACAGGGAAGGAAUGGCAUCCUCAGUUGCCGAUUUGGUGCAUGCAAUGUGAUACCUUUGCUGCUGGGCUCAGCCUUGGCGUUCAGUGCUCCAUCAGACAAGCGGGGUUCUUCUCCUCUUGGAGCCUACGGUCUUGGAUUCAGACACCGACACAUUGUAGCAAGGAACCCUCCAAGAACCAAAGUCUCCAGUGUUUGUCUCUGUGAAUCAUGGAAUCCUCAGACCACAGCCUGA